rnacentral:rRNA from 1 species
CUCAUAGCGUAUAUUAAAGUUGUUGCAGUUAAAACGCUCGUAGUCGGAUUUCGGGGCGGGCUGCUCGGUCUGCCGAUGGGUAUGCACUGGGUGGCGCGUCCUUCCUUCCGGAGACCGCGCCUUCUCUUAACUGAGCGGGCGCGGGAGACGGAACGUUUACUUUGAAAAAAUCAGAGUGUUUCAAGCAGGCAUCUCGCUCUUGCAUGGAUUAGCAUGGGAUAAUGAAAUAGGACUUUGGUGCUAUUUUGUUGGUUUCGAACACCGAAGUAAUGAUUAACAGGGACAGUCAGGGGCACUCGUAUUCCGUCGAGAGAGGUGAAAUUCUCAGACCAACGGAAGACGAACCACUGCGAAAGCAUUUGCCAGGGAUGUUUUCACUGAUCAAGAACGAAAGUUAGGGGAUCGAAGACGAUCAGAUACCGUCGUAGUCUUAACCAUAAACCAUGCCGACUAGGGAUUCGAGGGUGUUCCAUCUGUGACCCCUUGAGCACCUUUCGGGAAACUAAAGUCUUUGGGUUCCGGGGGGAGUAUGGUCGCAAGGCUGAAACUUAAAGGAAUUGACGGAAGGGCACCACCAGGAGUGGAGCCUGCGGCUUAAUUUGACUCAACACGGGGAAACUUACCAGGUCCAGACAUUGUGAGGAUUGACAGAUUGAGAGCUCUUUCUUGAUUCAAUGGGUGGUGGUGCAUGGCCGUUCUUAGUUGGUGGAGUGAUUUGUCUGGUUA